rnacentral:rRNA from 1 species
UACACUCCUGCGGGAGGCAGCAGUGGGGAAUAUUGGACAAUGGGCGCAAGCCUGAUCCAGCCAUGCCGCGUGAGUGAUGAAGGCCCUAGGGUUGUAAAGCUCUUUCACCGGUGAAGAUAAUGACGGUAACCGGAGAAGAAGCCCCGGCUAACUUCGUGCCAGCAGCCGCGGUAAUACGAAGGGGGCUAGCGUUGUUCGGAUUUACUGGGCGUAAAGCGCACGUAGGCGGACUAUUAAGUCAGGGGUGAAAUCCCGGGGCUCAACCCCGGAACUGCCUUUGAUACUGGUAGUCUUGAGUUCGAGAGAGGUGAGUGGAAUUCCGAGUGCAGAGGUGAAAUUCGUAGAUAUUCGGAGGAACACCAGUGGCGAAGGCGGCUCACUGGCUCGAUACUGACGCUGAGGUGCGAAAGCGUGGGGAGCAAACAGGAUUAGAAACCCUAGUAGUCCCAUGAU